GGUUUAUGAUCAAUGGUUAAGGGUCUUAGGUGUUGAUGUUGGGUUUAAGGCUUAUGGUAUUGAUUUAGGGUUCAGGGUAUUUUGUUGAGGGUUUAUUGUGUUUUUUUAGGGCUUAGGGUUUAUGAUUUGGUUAGGGUUUAUGAUUUCUAUGUACGAUUUACUGUAUUGUAUUAUAGUGGUAAGAGGUUAUAAUCAAUUGUUUAGGGUCUAAGGUGUUGCUAUUGGGUUUAAGGCUAAUGGUAUUGAUUUAGGGUUUAGGCUUCAAGAUUUAGGGUUUAGGGUUUAGAUUUUACGGUUUAUGGUUUAUAUUUUGGCAGAGUUUAGGGUUUAUGAUUUUUUUUUAGUAUAUAUGGCUUUUUAAGGAUUUUGUGAUUGUAAAACAGCCAAACUUGUACAUAUUAAGUUAAUUUGUUACAUACACAGUUACAAGGAAGCUUAACCAUGCAAAACAAUCCUUAACCACACUAAAAUUUCAGAUAACAAUCUUCUCGAACCCAAAAAAACAAUGGCGUUCAAACACC
rnacentral:lncRNA from 1 species